rnacentral:rRNA from 1 species
CAACUCUCAACAACGGAUAUCUUGGCUCUCGCAACGAUGAAGAACGCAGCGAAAUGCGAUACGUAGUGUGAAUUGCAGAAUUCCGUGAACCAUCGAAUCUUUGAACGCAUAUUGCACUCGCGGCUUCGGCCAAGAGUAUGUCUGCCUCAGCGUCGGUUUGAACCC